CAAGUAUCGUUAUCUACACAGAAUAAGUAGGUACUGAGCUGGAAUCCUGGCUGACGGCCUACCUAUGUGGAGUUUGCGUGUUUUUCUUGGGUCCAUCAUGUGGGGUUCAUCCGGGUAUUCUGGCUUCAGCUCACCGUCGAAGCUAUGCAGGUUAGGUCUAAAUUUUCCAUGAGGCUCCAGCCCCCUUGUGACCCUGACCAGGAGUAAGCAGUUUUGAAUAUGGGUGUCUGGAUGGAUUAUUGGAAUGCAUUUUGCAUUACAUAAAUAUGGGAGGAAAGCAGAAAGGGGUACAGGAAAUGCCGUGGCAAGGAAUCGAACCCUCGCACACACAAGGUUGGCAGGAAUAAACCCUGGACAGGUCACCAAUCCACAGCAGGGCACACACACCAUUCACUCACACAUUCAUACCUAUGGGCAAUUUAGAGUCUCUAAUUGACCUACUGCAUGUCUUUGGACUGUAGGAGGAAACCAGAUACCUGGAAGAAAUCCCUGUGGACAAAACAGUUCUUUAAAAUAAAUGUCUACUGUACAUUGAGGAAGGAUAAGCUAGCUGUGUGUCCGACUCUAUUUGGAUCUACAUCUGUGUAUGCCUGAGAAAAGUAUUAUCCACGAACUCCAUGUUUUCCAAAAUUCUUCAGCAAAGAAUGCCAGCAAGGGUCACAGUUGGACUGCAUCUGUUUAUUGUUCCGUUAUACCAACAAGUCUUAACGUGACAGUGCAGCAUAAUCAUUUUAACUAAAAUUGAGCUGUGUAAAAUGGAUUGCAUGAAAAAAUAAGCUACGUGCUAAGCUGUGUAAGUUAUGUCACUAUGUAUUGGGUGAUUGUUAUGUGACAGGUAGCAGUGAGAGUCUCCCUAUUUAUUUAUUUAUUUAUUUAUUUAUUACUGAGGCAAGUGAAAACUACCCCUGACCUUUACAGGGUGGCUUUGAGAAAGCUUAAUGACUUUGAUUAGGGGCUUUUCCCCCCUCAUUCCAACCUGUAGUCAAGCAGAAAUUCUCACUGGAAAAGGAUUAUAUGACUUCCUUUGAUGGGCAGUGUUUCUGUUUUUACAGCUCAGGUCAUUGAGGGUUUACAAGUAAAACUGGAUCUCAUUAAUUCUGACCCAGACAAGGGAUUUCACAGUCCAGGACUAAAUGCUGUCAAAACCGGUUCCUUAUGCUUUAAAUCACCAAAGUGAGGCUGCCUUUGGCAGUUCUUCAGACGUCCAGACUAUUUUAUUUGAUAUCAAUAUUUAUUGGAAGGUUUUUCUAAAUGUUAAAGUCAAUUUUUGUCAAUAUAAAAUCAGUCUGCAAAGAACCAUGCUGUAGAAUCAUCGAUAAAGACAUUAAGUUGUUUUUAUAAAAAUUCAAAAUGAUACCACAUUUACCAUAGGGAAAAGUGCAUUUGUUUCACAGUGAAUAACAAUUUAGCUUUAAACAGAUGCUCUUUUGCAGACACAGCUGACUUGAAAUAUUUUUUUAUGGAAAUACUUUUUUAAUCAUUAUAGCAUAUAUUAGAAAGAAUUCAUUGCUGCUUUGAGGCAUAUUGCGACAAUUUCUUUUGACAGUUGCACUGUGUGGACAAAAAUGCAAGGAAAAACUGCAUGUAGGAAAAAGCCUUAGAUGGAGUAUUCAACACAAUACAGCAGAACAUUCAUUUUUUUGACACCCCCCCCCUUUUUUUUUUACACCUUAUAUGGAAUGUCAAAUUAUUUACCGACAUUCAAAACUGGACCCUCUGCUAUUGAUCAAGAAAGAGAAUGAUGCUAUACACAGAUGAACCACUCAGCAGCCUAGCAGUAUGCAAUACAAUGCGAAGGCACCUUGACUAACCUCGAACUUGGAUUUUGACAUGGAUUUUUAGCACCGAUGUAUGAGUAAGGGGUGUGCAGCAGAAGCUAUAGCCUUCAGAAGUAAAGGUUAAUAAUGAUAAAUAAUGUCUAGAUAACAUGAUCUGGCAUGGCAGUCUGCUGCCAUGUUGUCAGUUGGCGGCUUUUCCCAGCAGCCCUCUGAAACCUAUGGUCACGGUAUGUUUGGGUAUCGAUUGACGAUUACACGGAUAAAAGAUCACAUCAGGGUUUGCGUUUCAAGCAGAGCAGAACUUUCCUGUCAGGGCAGGCUUUCAUUCUGAUAAGACCCCUUAGGAGUUUACACUUCUAUCCAGAGCGACUUGCUCGAGUUUUGAAUUUUUACAUUGUAUCCAGCUAGAUAUACA